rnacentral:rRNA from 1 species
AGAGUUUGAUCAUGGCUCAGAGCGAACGCUGGCGGCAGGCUUAACACAUGCAAGUCGAGCGGGCGUAGCAAUACGUCAGCGGCAGACGGGUGAGUAACGCGUGGGAACGUACCUUUUGGUUCGGAACAACACAGGGAAACUUGUGCUAAUACCGGAUAAGCCCUUACGGGGAAAGAUUUAUCGCCGAAAGAUCGGCCCGCGUCUGAUUAGCUAGUUGGUGAGGUAACGGCUCACCAAGGCGACGAUCAGUAGCUGGUCUGAGAGGAUGAUCAGCCACAUUGGGACUGAGACACGGCCCAAACUCCUACGGGAGGCAGCAGUGGGGAAUAUUGGACAAUGGGGGCAACCCUGAUCCAGCCAUGCCGCGUGAGUGAUGAAGGCCCUAGGGUUGUAAAGCUCUUUUGUGCGGGAAGAUAAUGACGGUACCGCAAGAAUAAGCCCCGGCUAACUUCGUGCCAGCAGCCGCGGUAAUACGAAGGGGGCUAGCGUUGCUCGGAAUCACUGGGCGUAAAGGGUGCGUAGGCGGGUCUUUAAGUCAGGGGUGAAAUCCUGGAGCUCAACUCCAGAACUGCCUUUGAUACUGAAGAUCUUGAGUUCGGGAGAGGUGAGUGGAACUGCGAGUGUAGAGGUGAAAUGCGUAGAGAUCGGUAGGAACACCAGUGGCGAAGGCGGUCUCCUGGGGUUGACUUGACGCUGAUGCGCGAAAGCUGGGGGAGCGAACGGGAUUAGAUACCCCGGUAGUCCCAGCCCUAAACGAUGGAUACUAGGUGUCGGGGGUAUCGACCCCUCCGGUGCCGCAGCUAACGCAGUAAGUAUCCCGCCUGGGGAGUACGGCCGCAAGGUUGAAACUCAAAGGAAUUGACGGGGGCCCGCACAAGCGGUGGAGCAUGUUGUUUAGUACGUCACUAACCGUAGAACCUUACCAGGGUUUGACAUGGCGAGACAUCCGGUGAAAGUCGGCUUCCCCGCAAGGGGACUCGCACACAGGUGUUGCAUGGCUGUCGUCAGCUCGUGUCGUGAGAUGUUGGGUUAAGUCCCGCAACGAGCGCAACCCUCAUCCCAUGUUGCCAGCGGGUAAAGCCGGGAACUCUUGGGAAACUGCCGGGGUAACUCGGAGGAAGGUGAGGAUGACGUCAAGUCAGCAUGGCCCUUACACCCUGGGCUACAAACAUGCUACAAUGGACGGUAGACAGAGGGAUCCGAGGGGGCGACCCGGAGGCAAUCUCAGAAAUCCGUUCUCAGUUCGGAUUGCAGGCUGCAACUCGCCUGCAUGAAGCCGGAAUCGCUAGUAAACGCAGAUCAGCGAAGCUGCGUUGAAUACGUUCCCGGGCCUUGUACACACCGCCCGUCACGUCACCUGAGUUGUCUGCACCCGAAGUCGGUGGGGUAACCGUAAGGAGCCAGCCGCCGAAGGUGUGGGGAGCGAGGGGGACGAAGUCGUAACAAGGUAACCGU